UGGGGAAUAUUGCACAAUGGGCGCAAGCCUGAUGCAGCCAUGCCGCGUGUAUGAAGAAGGCCUUCGGGUUGUAAAGUACUUUCAGCGGGGAGGAAGGGAGUAAAGUUAAUACCUUUGCUCAUUGACGUUACCCGCAGAAGAAGCACCGGCUAACUCCGUGCCAGCAGCCGCGGUAAUACGGAGGGUGCAAGCGUUAAUCGGAAUUACUGGGCGUAAAGCGCACGCAGGCGGUUUGUUAAGUCAGAUGUGAAAUCCCCGGGCUCAACCUGGGAACUGCAUCUGAUACUGGCAAGCUUGAGUCUCGUAGAGGGGGGUAGAAUUCCAGGUGUAGCGGUGAAAUGCGUCGAGAUCUGGAGGAAUACCGGUGGCGGAGGCGGCCCCCUGGACGAAGACUGACGCUCAGGUGCGAAAGCGUGGGGAGCAAACAGG
rnacentral:rRNA from 1 species